rnacentral:rRNA from 1 species
ACUAGAUAUAGCUCAAAACUUAAACACGAUAAAAUUACCCCCUAAAAAUAAAGUAAAACAUUCACUACAAUCAAAGUAUAGGCGAUAGAAAUUUUACUCGACGCUAUAGAAAUAGUACCGCAAGGGAAAUAUGAAAGAAAGCUCUAAGUAUGAAAUAGCAAAGCUUAACUCUUGUACCUUUUGCAUAAUGACUCAACUAGAAAAUAUUAGCAAAAAGAAUUAAAGUUAAAUAGCCCGAAACCAGACGAGCUACCUCCCCAGCAGCCUAUAGAGCAAACCCGUCCAUGUAGCAAAAUGGUGGGAUGACUGCGAGGUAGCGGCGACAAACCUAUCGAGCCUGGUGAUAGCUGGUUGUCCAGAGAGGAAUUUUAGUUCCAAUUUAAAUUUACCAAAAAAUAUAAUGAAUUAAAAUGUAAGCUUAAAUAAUAGUCUAAAAGGGUACAGCCUUUUAGACAAGGGAUACAACCCUCAUUAGAGAGUAAAUACAGAUUAAACCACAAUAGUUGACCUAAAAGCAGCCAUCAAAUAAGAAGACGUUCAAGCCCAACAGUACGUAAAAAUAAUCCCAACAAUUAUAUUAACACUCCUAAUAUAAAACUGGACUAUUCUAUUUAUAAAUAGAAGCAAUAAUGUUGAUAUGAGUAACAAGAAGCAUUUCUCCUAGCACACGUGUAUAUCAGAACGAAUAAAUCACUGAUAGUUACCAAAACAAGUAUAAUCAAUCAACUAAACCCCCACUAUCAAUUGUUAAUCCAACACAGGAGUGCAUUAAAGGAAAGAUUUAAAAAAGUAAAAGGAACUCGGCAAACACAAAUCCCGCCUGUUUACCAAAAACAUCACCUCUAGCAUAAAAAGUAUUAGAGGCACUGCCUGCCCAGUGACUUCAGUUCAACGGCCGCGGUAUCCUGACCGUGCAAAGGUAGCAUAAUCACUUGUUCCCUAAAUAGGGACUUGUAUGAAGGGCCCCACGAGGAUUUUACUGUCUCUUACUUUAAAUCAGUGAAAUUGACAUUCUCGUGAAGAGGCGAGAAUUAAAAAAUAAGACGAGAAGACCCUAUGGAGCUUUAAUUAACCAGCCUACAAAGUACAAUAUAACUCUAAAAGAGAUAACACACUUCAACUAGGCCGGCAAUUUAGGUUGGGGUGACCUCGGAAUAAAAAAUAACUCCCGAGAAGAUCUAUCGAGACUUACCAGUCAAAAUUAUCUUACCAAACAAUGAUCCGCCAACGGCGAACAACGAAACAAGUUACCCUAGGGAUAACAGCGCAAUCCUAUUUAAGAGUCCAUAUCGACAAUUAGGGUUUACGACCUCGAUGUUGGAUCAGGACAUCCCAAUGGUGCAGCCGCUAUUAAUGUGUUCGUUUGUUCAACGAUUAAAGUCCUACGUGAUCUGAGUUCAGACCGGAGUAAUCCAGGUCGGUUUCUAUCUAUUUAUAAGUCCCUCCCAGUACGAAAGGACAAGAGAGACAGGGCCCACUUAAAACUAAGCGCCCUAGUAAAACAGAUGAAUUAAUCUAAAUCUUACUUUGUCAAUCAUUAGCCCAAAAGAAGGGCCA